rnacentral:rRNA from 1 species
AGACAGCAGCAGCCACGGGAAUACGGAGGGUGCGAGCGUUAAUCGGAUUUACUGGGCGUAAAGCGUACGUAGGCGGCUUUUUAAGUCGGAUGUGAAAUCCCUGGGCUUAACUUAGGAAUUGCAUUCGAUACUGUGAAGCUAGAGUAUGGUAGAGGAUGGUAGAAUUCCAGGUGUAGCGGUGAAAUGCGUAGAGAUCUGGAGGAAUACCGAUGGCGAAGGCAGCCAUCUGGCCUAAUACUGACGCUGAGGUACGAAAGCAUGGGGAGCAAACAGGAUUAGAUACCCCGGUAGUCCCUGUCUCUUAUAC